AAAACAAGGAAUUGCUCCUUCCUUCUAGAGGUCUUUGCGCUGGGACGUUGACGAAAUUAUCUCGCUCGAUUGACCUCUCAUCUCAGCUCAUAUCACCCCACUGCCACCCCUUGGCAGUUUUGCACAAAGCUUCUCUCAUAUUCCUAUCGAAUUGUACGUUUAGUAGCGAGUAUCACAUGGUCACAGAGCACCUGUAGUUUGUGAAAAAAGAACAGUGGCCUUUCUGCAAAAGGCCGCGCAUCCUUUUUAUAUCUUGCCUUUCCCCUCCCGUUCCGUUCCCGUCUCGCUCUCGCAUCGGCCAACAACGCUUCACGGCAAAAUCCUUCCACAGGCGGGGGAGUCGCCUCACCUCACUUCACCCCGUUCAUCCCCAGCGAAGAAGCAAAAUACUUAGCACACCAGUGAUGGCGGCUACUUACCAAACUGGCCUUGUGGCCGAGCCACAGUUGCUGAACACUGAAAUUAUCACUCGGAGGGCCACCAACUCUGUUGCUGACACUAACAGAAAAGACAAAUGCGUCGGCUACUUGGAUGUGUUUGUACACCAAGCACGCGACAUCCACAAUGUUUGUAUCUAUCACAAGCAGGAUGUGUAUGCAAAGCUGUGCCUCACGAGCAGCCCUGAUGUUUCGUGCUCAACCAAGGUGAUCAACAGUGCUGGGCGCAACCCAGUAUUUGAGGAAAGCCUACGCCUUGAUGUGCAAACUGUGGAUGCUUCUCUCAAGUGCGAGAUAUGGAUGUUAAGCAGAGUGAGGAACUACCUGGAGGAUCAGCUCCUUGGCUUUGCCCUUGUUCCUCUGGUAGACAUUGUAAUUGGUAAUGGAAAGCUGGUCCAGGAGUUCUCCUUGACAUCUACUGACCUAUUCCACACACCAGCUGGAUUUGUGCACUUGUCCUUGUCAUAUGCUGGUUGUUCCCCAGAUGUUGUCCUCAUCUCAUCACCCAAUAAGUCCCCAUCAACAGUGGAUGAUUCUGGAAAUGAUCAUGUGGUUCCUGCUCAGCUUGAGAAGAUUGUGUUCCCAGACCUAAAUGUGGAGAAGGAAGACGAGAUUAUGGUCUCAAAGUAUCUCGAGAUGACUUCAGACUCUGAAACCCCUAUAAAAGUUGAGAACGUCAUGUCACUGCAUUCUGCAAAUGAUGAUGAUGUUCCUUCUAAACUUGAAAAGAUCAAGUUCAUAGAUUCUGAGAGCCGUGCGAAAGCUGAAAAUGGCAAGAUGCUACUAUUUGGUGUAGCUGUGCCUAGUACUGCAAUUUGUGCAGAUAAGGUUGAGGAACACCGCGAUGAAAGCCCUCUAAGUUGUGUCUCAACCACAGGCUCCUCCACUACCCUUUCUGCAACAACACAAUCAGUUUCUGAGCCUUCGGAGACCAGUGUCGAGGCAUCCCCUAGACAAUGCCAUAGGGAGAAAAGCCAAGAUGUUACAGGUGGUGAGGCUAAUUCUUCUGAAACACCAGCAAAGGAUGAAGUUAUCAAGCCUGUGAUCUGCGUUAACCUUCAGCCAGAGCAGUCAGUUGUCCAACAGGACAUAGUUGACAUGUACAUGAAGAGCAUGCAACAGUUCACAGAAUCUCUUGCAAAAAUGAAACUUCCAUUGGACGUUGAGAAUACUAGUCCCUCAAACGAUGAUUCAUACUCCAGUACAAUUGAGAAGACAUCCCCAUCCCCAUCUUCAUCUGCAGCAAAGGGUUCUAGGGUCUUUUAUGGAAGCAGGGCCUUCUUUUAAGUUUCUAAUGCAAAGUAGUACACUAGCUCGUUACUAUCUCCUACAUACAUAUACAUGGUUCCAGGUUUAUCAGAUAUCUUCUGGCAUGUAAUCACAUACUUUCUGUCUCCAUAAUAUGCUUCUAGGACUCACUCCUGGUAUUGCUAUUAGUGUUAUGCUUUGUUAGAAGAUAAUAAUUUCAUCUCAUAGUAAUCCCAUGUACUAAUACAUACCCAUGAAAUAUAAUGUCAUGAAAUCAGUUCUGACUCGAGAUUAAUUCCUGCACUGUAUUGUGACCAGGUGGGGACUCUUCGUCCCCCCCGUUGCCCUGUCAAAAAGAAGUAUUGUGUUUAUCUGAAGGUCUGGGUGACAGGUGAAUCAUAUUCUGCUUCUCAGAAAUAGGUAGAGGCACGACCAUGACAGAGCACUAGAGCAGCAAUGGCUGCUGGGUGAAACAUUUUAUUUUCAUCAAGAAAAGCAGGAACUGGAAGCUGCGAUUGUUUCCUUGUCAUAAUUUACAUUGCAACUUUAAAAAGAUGGUGCUAAGUGAUAACGUGAUAUCACGGGCACUUGUUUCUAGUGAAGUAGCAUUUGAGGAAAAACCAUGUGACUUCUGUAGUUCUGUUCUUGAAUAAUGUAGGAGAGCUGCCUACCUUGUAUUGUGAUUUGUGAAAGGAAGAGAAUAUUUGUACA